rnacentral:rRNA from 1 species
AUUGAACGCUAGCGGGAGGCUUUACACAUGCAAGUCGAGCGAGUGGCGGACGGGUGAGUAAUGUAUGGGAACGUGCCCAGUAGCGGGGGAUAACUACUGGAAACGGUGGCUAAUACCGCAUACUAUCGGAUCAACCCAUAUGGGAUUAGCUAGUUGGUGGGGUAAAGGCUCACCAAGGCGACGAUCCGUAGCUGGUUUGAGAGGAGGACCAGCCACACUGGGACUGAGACACGGCCCAGACUCCUACGGGAGGCAGCAGUGGGGAAUUUUGGACAAUGGGCGAAAGCCUGAUGCAGCCAUCCCGCGUGUAUGAGAAGGCCUUCGGGUUGUAAAGUACUUUUGGCAGAGAAGCGGUACCCGCAGAAUAAGCACCGGCUAACUACGUGCCAGCAGCCGCGGUAAUAC